CUUUCCUUUAGUUUGUAAUUUCAUUGAUUCUGAAUUAAUGCAAUAACGCAAGCCGCUUGGUGCGGGACCGUCAGGAAAAAC
rnacentral:tRNA from 1 species